rnacentral:rRNA from 1 species
UGCCAGCCGCCGCGGUAAUACGGAGGGUGCUAGCGUUGUUCGGAAUUACUGGGCGUAAAGAGCGCGUAGGCGGUCUAGUAAGUUGGUAGUGAAAUCCCUGGGCUUAACCCAGGAACUGCUAUCAAAACUAUUAGACUAGAGUAUGGUAGGGGAUAGUGGAAUUCCUAGUGUAGAGGUGAAAUUCGUAGAUAUUGGGAAGAACACCAGUGGCGAAGGCGGCUAACUGGCUCGGUACUGACGCUGAGAUGCGAAAGCGUGGGGAGCAAACAGGAUUAGAUA